GCAGAUCCUGUGGAGUGCAGGAGUCACGGAGAGCAGAGACCGAUGAAAGAUGGCUCCAGGCUGGGAUUUUGGAGAGUGUCUACAUGGUGUUGUCUUCUUUCACUGCUCCAUUUCUAAAGAUAACUGCUCUGUGUUUGGAGAAGCCGUUCUGUCUUUCCAACCCCUCGACAGCAUGGGCUGCUGAACAAGAACAUAGUGAAGGAAAGCAGCUGAUGAAAGAAAAGCUGUUCCUGUGGUAGCAAAAUUGCUGCUUGUCUUCCCUCCCCCACAACGCUGAAUCCCAGCACCCCAGACUGUCGUGACUGCCGGGGAUUGGUGACAUCUCGAGUGACACGUGUUGGAGCAUCAGAACAGAGUGGGAGCAGCACAGCUUGGCUCCAGGAGCCAAAAAUAGGCAGUGCUUCCCAGAAUGUCCUGGCAGCCUGAGAAGUGGUGGACACCGCAAUGACACCCCAGAGGAGCAGCUGAGUGCUACUGAUUGCUGGUGAGUGGGUGGGAGGUCAGCAGGAAAACACCAGACUCCCGUCUGAAAGGACAAACCCAACAGAUCCUGGAGCAGCCAUCAGCCUGAAGGAGGGGUUAGAGGCAGAUUGCAGCCAUUUGGGACUGGGAAAACAUGAGAUUUGUGAGAAACCUUUUCUCCCUCUGUCAAACCUCUCUUAUUUGUUGCCUGCCUCAAAGGGCUCGUGGCCGAAAAAUGCCACUGCUUUGCUUCAUAGAAUCUAAAUGUUCCAAUGGCACAGACAG